rnacentral:rRNA from 1 species
GGGCCCGCACAAGCGGUGGAGCAUGUGGUUUAAUUCGAUGAUACGCGAGGAACCUUACCAGGGCUUAAAUGCAGUCUGACAGCUUUAGAGAUAGAGUUUUCUUCGGACAGAUUGCAAGGUGCUGCAUGGUUGUCGUCAGCUCGUGCCGUGAGGUGUCAGGUUAAGUCCUAUAACGAGCGCAACCCCUGUUGUUAGUUGCCAGCGAGUAAUGUCGGGAACUCUAGCAAGACUGCCGGUGCAAACCGUGAGGAAGGUGGGGAUGACGUCAAAUCAUCACGGCCCUUACGUCCUGGCUACACACGUGCUACAAUGGUAGGGACAGAGAGCAGCCACUGCGCGAGCAGGAG